rnacentral:rRNA from 1 species
UACGUAGGGGGCAAGCGUUGUCCGGAAUCAUUGGGCGUAAAGCGCGUGUAGGCGGCUCGAUAAGUCCGCUCUGAAAGUCCAGGGCUCAACCCUGGGAUGCGGGUGGAUACUGUCGGGCUCGAGUCCGGAAGAGGCGAGUGGAAUUCCUGGUGUAGCGGUGAAAUGCGCAGAUAUCAGGAAGAACACCCGUGGCGAAGGCGGCUCUCUGGGACGGUACUGACGCUGAGACGCGAAAGCGUGGGGAGCGAACAGG